UGGGGAAUAUUGCACAAUGGGCGCAAGCCUGAUGCAGCCAUGCCGCGUGUAUGAAGAAGGCCUUCGGGUUGUAAAGUACUUUCAGCGGGGAGGAAGGCGAUAAGGUUAAUAACCUUGUCGAUUGACGUUACCCGCAGAAGAAGCACCGGCUAACUCCGUGCCAGCAGCCGCGGUAAUACGGAGGGUGCAAGCGUUAAUCGGAAUUACUGGGCGUAAAGCGCGCGCAGGCGGUCUGUCAAGUCGGAUGUGAAAUCCCCGGGCUCAACCUGGGAACUGCAUUCGAAGCUGGCAGGCUAGAGUCUUGUAGAGGGGGGUAGAAUUCCAGGUGUAGCGGUGAAAUGCGUAGAGAUCUGGAGGAAUACCGGUGGCGAAGGCGGCCCCCUGGACAAAGACUGACGCUCAGGUGCGAAAGCGUGGGGAGCAAACA
rnacentral:rRNA from 1 species